rnacentral:rRNA from 1 species
AGCGAACGCUGGCGGCAGGCCUAACACAUGCAAGUCGAACGGAUCCUUCGGGAUUAGUGGCGGACGGGUGAGUAACACGUGGGAACGUGCCCUUUGGUUCGGAACAACUCAGGGAAACUUGAGCUAAUACCGGAUGUGCCCUUCGGGGGAAAGAUUUAUCGCCAUUGGAGCGGCCCGCGUCUGGUUAGCUAGUUGGUGAGGUAAAGGCUCACCAAGGCGACGAUCAGUAGCUGGUCUGAGAGGAUGAUCAGCCACAUUGGGACUGAGACACGGCCCAAACUCCUACGGGAGGCAGCAGUGGGGAAUCCUGCGCAAUGGGCGAAAGCCUGACGCAGCCAUGCCGCGUGAAUGAUGAAGGUCUUAGGAUUGUAAAAUUCUUUCACCGGGGACGAUAAUGACGGUACCCGGAGAAGAAGCCCCGGCUAACUUCGUGCCAGCAGCCGCAGUAAUAC